CAACCCUCGCUCGCCCCUCCGGGGGCGGCGGUGUUGGGGACCGGCCGCCCAGCGGCCGCCCCCGAAAUGCAGUGGCGGACCCGCCGGCGCCUCCCCCGCGUAGUAGCACACACCUCGCGGACAGGGAGCGAAGACGGGCCCAACGCCGUAAAAACCCCCAACUGAAGGCCUCCGGGCCGAAGA
rnacentral:misc_RNA from 1 species